GACGAACGCUGGCGGCGUGCUUAACACAUGCAAGUCGAACGGUAAGGCCCUUCGGGGUACACGAGUGGCGAACGGGUGAGUAACACGUGGGUGAUCUGCCCUGCACUUCGGGAUAAGCCUGGGAAACUGGGUCUAAUACCGGAUAGGACCACUGCAUGCAUGGGUGGUGGUGGAAAGCUGUUGCGGUGUGGGAUGGGCCCGCGGCCUAUCAGCUUGUUGGUGGGGUGAUGGCCUACCAAGGCGACGACGGGUAGCCGGCCUGAGAGGGUGACCGGCCACACUGGGACUGAGAUACGGCCCAGACUCCUACGGGAGGCAGCAGUGGGGAAUAUUGCACAAUGGGCGCAAGCCUGAUGCAGCGACGCCGCGUGAGGGAUGACGGCCUUCGGGUUGUAAACCUCUUCCAGCACCGACGAAGCGCAAGUGACGGUAGGUGCAGAAGAAGGACCGGCCAACUACGUGCCAGCCGCCGCUGUAACAC
rnacentral:rRNA from 1 species